rnacentral:rRNA from 1 species
GAGAUGGGAACUGAGACAAGGUCCCAGGCCCUACGGGGCGCAGCAGUUACGAAAACUGUCAAAUGCACGAAAGUGCGAACGGGCUACCCCGAGUGCCGUCCGCUGAGGAUGGCUUUUCUCUGCUGUAAGAAGGCGGAGGAAUAAGGAGAGGGCAAGUCUGGUGUCAGCCGCCGCGGUAAUACCAGCUCUCCGAGUGGUGGGGAUGUUUAUUGGGCUUAAAGCGUCCGUAGCUGGCCUUUCAAGUCUCUCGUUAAAUCCAACGAUUUAAUCGUUGGGCUGCGAUAGAUACUACUGGACUAGGGGGCGGAAGAAGCAGACGGUACUACCAGGGUAGGGGUGAAAUCCUAUAAUCCUGGGAGGACCACCAGUGGCGAAGGCGGUCUGCUAGAACGCGCUCGACGGUGAUGGACGAAAGCUGGGGGAGCGAUCCGGAUUAGAUACCCGGGUAGUCCCAGCUGUAAACGAUGCAGGCUAGGUGUUGGCGUGACUACGUGUUACGUCAGUGCCGCAGGGAAGCCGUUAAGCCUGCCGCCUGGG